UACAGAGGUCCCAAGCGUUGUUCGGAAUCAUUGGGCGUAAAGGGCGCGUAGGUGGUUCUGUAUGUCUACCGUGAAAGCGUACGGCUCAACCGUAUUUUGUCGGUGGAAACUGCAGGACUUGAGGCUGGGAGGGGCUGGUGGAAUUCCCUGUGUAGCGGUGAAAUGCGUAGAGAUGGGGGAGAACACUCGUGGCGAAGGCGGCCAGCUAGACCAGUUCUGACACUGAGGCGCGACAGCGUGGGGAGCAAACAGG
rnacentral:rRNA from 1 species